ACCGCCCGUCACAUCACGAAAAGUAGGGGUUGGCGACUAGAAGUCGGUAAGCCAACCGCAAGGAGGCAGCCGCCCAAGGUGUAAUUCAUGAUUGGGGUG
rnacentral:rRNA from 1 species